rnacentral:tRNA from 1 species
UCCUUAGUAGCUCAGUGGUAGAGUGGUCAACUGUUAACUUACUGAUCUUAGGUUCAAAUCCUACUUAAGGUG